rnacentral:rRNA from 1 species
ACGUACAACCUACCACUCUGAACAUGCACACUCUCAUUUGAUUUUGCGAAGCUAAGCAGGGUCGGGCCUGGUUAGGACUUGGAUGGAAGAAAGCAUUUUAGAAAACUACUGGGACACUGUAUCAC